UGGCUCCGAGGGCGACUCCUGAGCCGGGGCGAUGGGCGCCCCUCGGACAGCCCUAGAAACCCUCUCCAUUCCAGAGUGACACGCUGGGGGCGGGCUCCCAGCCUCUUUUUCUAAACUACAGAUCCGCCCCAGGAGGGCUCUGCCGGGGUCUGCAGCCCCAGGGAAGGUCGGGACUGCGGAGGCGCCGCUGGCCCGCUGGGAGGGGCAGCCGCCCAAGUCCCCCUCGCCGGCCCGCGCAGGGCCUCGGGCCUCAUCCCAGAGGAGCGCCCCAGAUCACGAUCCUCAAGCCCCGCCAGGGCUCCCGCCCCAGGGCAGCGCCCUGGACCUCCGCCCCGCGUCGGCGGUGCGAGACUAAGUUAAAGACGCUCCUAGGAGAAGAAGCAGGAGGUCGACUUCUGGGUCUGAGCGCUGGAUGCGGCGCGGUGGCCACAAGCAGCUCAGGAAACCGGUAAAGAGCCGCUUCCUGCUGCGGCAUGGGGCAAAGCAGUUAAGAGGCGGGAAAAGCUGCUUCCUGCCGCGACAGCGCAGAUCGUGGGGCAAAUUAGUUAAGAGGCGGGAACUGGGUCUAAAAGACGGGCUCCUUCCUUUCGGCAAGGAGAUAAAAUGGGAAAAUGAGACGCGCGGACACCCAAAAGGGUCCUGCUCCAGGAAUUAAAAUGUGAACAUUUGUGUUGUUGGCCCAGGACCGUCUUCAUCUUACCUGACUACUCCACCCGGAACCAGCUUACUCCUGGGCCUCCUCCUGACCUCCUAGCGGCUGCCACCUCCGAAGUCCUUCCACCCACCCACCCAGCCCACUCUUUCUCCAGCUUGUCUCGAACAUCUUGUCUCCUGAGCACCUGUCACCUUGUUCCUGACCCCUCUACUUACCUAGGAGAGCCAGGAGACCAAACAGCAGGGUGACUUAGGCGCUCGAUGCAAGGACCAGCAUGGGCAAGCCAUGGAAGCAGAAGUAAGGUGUAGUUGGCUUCAUGGUGACUUGGCCACAGAAACAGGUUGUGUUAGGGUGACAAACGUCAAGUGCCAGACUACAGAAGACCCUGAAAUUUAAGCAGGAGAGGUAACAGUGCCCAGGUUGGCAAGGAGGAGACAGCCACAGAUUCUGUGAAAGGCAUGGGCCUCUUGAACAGUGUUUUUUGUUGUUUUGCUUUGUUUUGUGGUACUGGGGACCGAGUCUAGGGCCUUGCCCUGAACUACAAACCAGACCUUUUUACUUUUUGAGUCAGGGUCUCACUAAGCCACUGACUUGUCCAGGCUGGGCUCAAACCUUUAAUCCUCCUGUCUCAGCCUCCCAGAGCACUGAGAUUACAGGCAUGUGCCACCAUACCAGCUCUGAUGAUGUUUUUAGAAAACUCAACACCAUGUGCAGACUGGAUUAAUCCACCAAGAAAAAGGAGGCAAGUGAGACUGUCUGGUUGUUUUGUAACUGUAAGAGACACAUCAAAAAACAGCUCAGAAAAGGGAUAGGCAGCACCCUACUGUAUCCCACCAGGCACCAGGCAGGAGAGAGGAUGCAGGACUGGGGCUCCUUGGAUCAUAUGGGGGCAAGUCCAGGGUAAGGCAAGGGCAGAUGUUUCCUUGACCCAUUCUUGCACUGCCUGCUUGACCUAGCUGCAUUUCUACCUGGCCCUAAUCUUGUGUGUCUUUAAAGACAGGACACCAGUAAGCCAAAGUCCCUCUUUCAGAUGGGCUGGCUGAGACUGGUUGGACCCAAGAUGGCUGCUAGAGUGACUGCCAGACCACCCUCCUUAUAAUCCCAUCUGCACACCCAAUGGCAAACUCCCCAGUGCUAGGACAGUUGACAAUUUCUGUGACAGUGACUAGAAAGAACCAUGAGAAGAAGGAAGAAGUGGCACCUGAAUGCCCAGAAAAGUCAUAGCUAUUCUGCCCUUUACUAGCCUAUCUCUCCCCCUCAGUUCUUUUACCUUAUAUCCAUAGUCCCCGGGCCCCCAACAGAUUUGUGGGUUUUAUCUCCCACUUCUCCUGUCCUUAGCCAAGAAGAAAAUUCUUUUCUGCUCCAUCAGGGCUUGGUCUUAUUGGUUCUGCAGUUCUGAGAGGGAUAAAGAACCCAGUUUGGGGUGAGAAAUUGGUGACACAGUGAUCCUUUGAAAUAAGUUUCUCCCAAAAGCUGGAACAAGCUGAAGAGAUAAAUAUAGAGUUUGCUACAGGAUGAGCAUAUUUUUUUUUCUGAAUAGAAAGGGAUUAAUUUCCUGGUAACAAGGAGAAUGAGUUGGGAACCUUUUUACAGUGUCUUCUCAAAUGCAUUACCAUUUGAAGAACCUGCCGGGGGUCCUCCUUCCUCAGUCACCUGCUGAUCCAGUGAGCACCAGUCACCUGCAGGUGGCCCAGCCCCCUUCUCACCCCAUUCAUGUGUCUGCACCUCUAUUGGCUCAGCAGAUAGUGGCAGGUCGCAACUGUGUGCAAGGGGAAGACAGUGCCUCCUAAAAGGAGCUGAAUUAGCUUAGCACACAAGGAAAUUGAGGAAGCUAGACAGGAAAUGCUGAAUCUGGAGAGGGUGCAGGUCAGAACCCCAGCUGCAAGAGACAUUGUCCUGGAAAGAGUAGUCUGGUAGGACCCGCAAAUCUCUUACCCACACCCAGGCUGCCUCUACAGAGCAGUGAGCCAGGAGCCUUAGCUGUGGCACUCACUGGCCCUGAAUGCUAAGAAACCUUAUGUAAGUCUCUCCCUCCCCUCCAUCUAAGAUGCCUCCUGUUUAAAUGGAAGCACCUAGAGCAGAUAAGAGCUUUCCAGCCUAUCUUGACUGGAGAACCCCUUUCACCAUGCAACUCCUACCAGCACCUCGAAAUUAGCUUAAUCAUUUAACAGAUGGUGUAACACAUAUACCAAAAAGUGAUAUUUAAAUAAAACUUAUUUUAGAUCAAUGUAUAAUAUUAAAAUGGCAAUGCCUGUAGUAUAAAAAGACUAAUCUCAACAUUUUCCCAUUUACCAAGUAAUUCAAAAUGUUUAACUUAAUUAUCUAAGGGGAGACCAUGCUUUGUUCAUAACUUUUAAAAUAACAUGUCCUUUGGUAUUGGGACAAAUGUACUGUAUAUUAAAAUGUAUGAAAUUUAA